rnacentral:rRNA from 1 species
AACGAACGCUGGCGGCAGGCUUAACACAUGCAAGUCGAACGCAUCCUUCGGGGUGAGUGGCAGACGGGUGAGUAACGCGUGGGAACGUGCCCUUCAGUUCGGGAUAACCCAGGGAAACUUGGGCUAAUACCGGAUACGAGCGAGAGCAGAAAGAUUUAUCGCUGAAGGAUCGGCCCGCGUCUGAUUAGCUAGUUGGUGGGGUAAUGGCCCACCAAGGCGACGAUCAGUAGCUGGUCUGAGAGGAUGAUCAGCCACAUUGGGACUGAGACACGGCCCAAACUCCUACGGAAGGCAGCAGUGGGGAAUAUUGGACAAUGGUCGCAAGCCUGAUCCAGCCAUGCCGCGUGAGUGAUGAAGGCCUUAGGGUUGUAAAGCUCUUUCGUCCGGGACGAUAAUGACGGUACCGGAAGAAGAAGCCCCGGCUAACUUCGUGCCAGCCGCCGCCGUAA